rnacentral:tRNA from 1 species
GGAAAUGUGCCUGAAAAAGGGUCACUUUGAUAGGGUGAAUAAUGAGGGUUAAAGCCCCUCCAUCUCCU